AAUACCCUGUAUAACUGAAAUCUUAAUACUUGAGACAUUAGUAGGUUAUAUGGGGUAUU
rnacentral:ncRNA from 17 species